AUUUUGGACAAUGGGCGAAAGCCUGAUCCAGCCAUGCCGCGGGAGGGAAGAAGGCCUUCGGGUUGUAAAGCCCUUGCGGCCGGAAAGAAACGGCGCAGGCUAAUACCCUGCGCGGAUGACGGUACCGUCAUAAGAAGCACCGGCUAAUUACGUGCAGGCAGCCGCGGUAAUACGUAGGGUGCGAGCGUGAAUCGGAAUUACUUGGCGUAAAGCGUGCACAGGCGGUUUGCUAAGACAGGCGUGAAAUCCCCGAGCUUAGACCGGGACCUGGGCUUGUGACUUGUCAGCUCGAGUACGGCAGGGUGGGGUGGAAUUCCACGUGUAGCAGUGAAAUGCGUAGAGAUGUGGAGGAACGCCGAUGGCGAAGGCAGCCCCCUGGGCCGAUACUGACGCUCAUGCACGAAAGCGUGGGUAGCAAACAGG
rnacentral:rRNA from 1 species